rnacentral:rRNA from 1 species
GAACCUGAUGCAGCGACGCCGCGUGAGUGAAGAAGUGUUUCGGCACGUAAAGCUCUGUCGGCAGGGAAGAAAAUGACGGGUACCUGACCAAGAAGCCCCGGCUAACAUACGUGCCAGCAGCCGCGGUAAUACAA